GAGAGGAGCUUGCUCUUCUUGGAUGAGUUGCGAACGGGUGAGUAACGCGUAGGUAACCUGCCUUGUAGCGGGGGAUAACUAUUGGAAACGAUAGCUAAUACCGCAUAACAAUGGAUGACACAUGUCAUUUAUUUGAAAGGGGCAAUUGCUCCACUACAAGAUGGACCUGCGUUGUAUUAGCUAGUAGGUGAGGUAAUGGCUCACCUAGGCGACGAUACAUAGCCGACCUGAGAGGGUGAUCGGCCACACUGGGACUGAGACACGGCCCAGACUCCUACGGGAGGCAGCAGUAGGGAAUCUUCGGCAAUGGGGGCAACCCUGACCGAGCAACGCCGCGUGAGUGAAGAAGGUUUUCGGAUCGUAAAGCUCUGUUGUAAGUCAAGAACGGGUGUGAGAGUGGAAAGUUCACACUGUGACGGUAGCUUACCAGAAAGGGACGGCUAACUACGUGCCAGCAGCCGCGGUAAUACGUAGGUCCCGAGCGUUGUCCGGAUUUAUUGGGCGUAAAGCGAGCGCAGGCGGUUUGAUAAGUCUGAAGUUAAAGGCUGUGGCUCAACCAUAGUUCGCUUUGGAAACUGUCAAACUUGAGUGCAGAGGGGGAGAGUGGAAUUCCAUGUGUAGCGGUGAAAUGCGUAGAUAUAUGGAGGAACACCGGUGGCGAAAGCGGCUCUCUGGUCUGUAACUGACGCUGAGGCUCGAAAGCGUGGGGAGCGAACAGGAUUAGAUACCCUGGUAGUCCACGCCGUAAACGAUGAGUGCUAGGUGUUGGAUCCUUUCCGGGAUUCAGUGCCGCAGCUAACGCAUUAAGCACUCC
rnacentral:rRNA from 1 species